UACGUAGGGUGCGAGCGUUGUCCGGAAUUACUGGGCGUAAAGAGCUCGUAGGUGGUUUGUCGCGUUGUCCGUGAAAACUCACAACUCAAUUGUGGGCGUGCGGGCGAUACGGGCAGACUGGAGUACUGCAGGGGAGACUGGAAUUCCUGGUGUAGCGGUGGAAUGCGCAGAUAUCAGGAGGAACACCGGUGGCGAAGGCGGAUCUCUGGGCAGUAACUGACGCUGAGGAGCGAAAGCGUGGGGAGCGAACAGG
rnacentral:rRNA from 1 species